GAAAUGCGAUAAGUAAUGUGAAUUGCAGAAUUCAGUGAAUCAUCGAAUCUUUGAACGCACCUUGCGCUCCUUGGUAUUCCUUGGAGCAUGCCUGUUUGAGUAUCAUGAAAUCUUUAAAGUAAAUCUUUUGUUAACUCAAUUGGUUUCUACUUUGGUAUUGGAGGUCUUUGCAGCUUCACACCUGCUCCUCUUUGUUCAUUAGCUGGAUCUCAGUGUUAUGCUUGGUUCCACUCGGCGUGAUAAGUUAUCUAUCGCUGAGGACACUGUAAAAGGUGGCCAAGGUAAAUGCAGAUGAACCGCUUCUAAUAGUCCAUUGACUUGGACAAUACUUUUAUGAUCUGAUCUCAAAUCAGGUAGGACUACCCGCUGAACUUAAGC
rnacentral:misc_RNA from 1 species